GAAUUGACGGGGGCCCGCACAAGCAGCGGAGCGUGUGGUUUAAUUCGAUGCAACGCGAAGGACCUUACCAGGGUUUGACAUGUUAGAAGUAGGAACUCGAAAGAGGGACGACCUGUAUCCAAUCAGGAGCUAUCACAGGUGCUGCAUGGCUGUCGUCAGCUCGUGCCGUGAGGUGUUAGGUUAAGUCCUGCAACGAGCGCAACCCUCGUCGCUAGUUAAUUUCUCUAGCGAGACUGCCCGUAUAACGUGGAGGAAGGUGGGGAUGACGUCAAGUCAGCAUGGCCCUUACACCCUGGGCGACACACACGCUACAAUGGGUGGUACAGCGGGUUGCUAAGGAGCAAUCCGGAGCUAAUCCCUGAAAACCAUCCUCAGUUCAGAUUGCAGGCUGAAACUGCCUGCAUGAAGUAGGAGUUGCUAGUAACCGCGGGUCAGCACACCGCGGUGAAUACGUUCUCGGGCCUUGUACACACCGCCCGUCACGUCAUGGAAGUCGGUAACACCUGAAGUCGAUGGGCCAACCUUCGGGAGGCAGUUGCCGAGGGUGGGACCGAUAACUGGGACGAAGUCGUAACAAGGUAACC
rnacentral:rRNA from 1 species